GCUCUGUUUUGGUAAGGGUAUGGGUGUAUCCUGGCUGAAGCAGUUACCCACAGGAAAUCGGGAGCAGGGCGGGAGGGCGGCCGGAAGCGCGCGAGGGGACGCCUCCCUUUACAGCGCCGACCCCUGAGAAGCCCGGCGGGGGUCGGGGGUUUUGCUGAAGCGGCACGAAGAGCUGUUCUUCCAGGCUGACCAGUCCAGACUGUGGAAGACGACGCCCUGACAGGGUGUGGUGCUCUUGGGUGGGGGUGGGGUGCAGCAAGGGGAAGUGUUUGGAAAGGGAGCGGUCACUGCCGCCGUCGUUCUUUCUGGAGGGACGAGGGAGAGCGGAAAGAGCGACCGCAGGAUUCUGACCCGAGUCAAGGGUUGUGGGCGCCCAGGACUCCGUGGAGCGAAGAGGCGCUACACAGGAACAGCUUUCCCAGGGCCCCGGCACCACUGAGGCCACCAAGAGGCUAACGGUCUUUUUCCAGAGAGGGACGUGGUCCUGGAGCUCCAGCAGGUAAUGGACAGGACCCGGAAGAGUGGGAAGCGGGAAAGUCUGGAUGUGAGUAACUUCCCCACCCCCAUGUGUUCUACACUAGAUCUGAGCCAAAAGGCUGGGAAGUGAUCCACCCCCAUAUUCAGGCUUCAGAAGUGACCCCUGUCCCCACCUUGAACCUCUGGAAACAGGAGAUGGCCAUAAUCCCUGCUGGGGAGGAAGAUGCCACAGCCAUUCAAAGGGACCCGCUCAGGGCCUCAGGAUGCAGGCAAGGCUACAGAAAGCAAGAGUGACUGUCAGGCGCAGGGCUCCCGUCCUGCCACCCUUCUUCACUCCUGCCUCCCCCCU
rnacentral:lncRNA from 1 species